rnacentral:lncRNA from 1 species
UUUUUGUCUGUCUUCUCUUUUCACCUCUCUCAUUUCUUUUUUUAAUUAAAAAUAAAAAUGUAGGGGUGCAUGAAUGAAUAAAAAGGCCCCCAGUAGUGUAGCAACACAACACUGCUUUAUCUCCACUUUACACUUUCUCAUUCUCAUUCUAUGUAUCCUUUUUUUUUUAAGUAAUUAUUAUAACCCCAUUUCUUGUUUAGAUCCCCCUCUUUCUCUCACUAUUGUAGAAUGAAAAUGAGAAAAACUGAAAGAACAAACACUAUGUGUUGUUGUUAUUGUUGUUUCAUUAUGCUGCUCUCUCUUACAAUCACAAUGGCAGAUCAAAACCUUAAAACUAUAACCAAAGAUGAUAUCAAGUGCACUCCUUGUGGCAAUGACAACCCAGUUCCGGUAUCAUCACCACCACCACCAUCUCCACCGCCGCCAUCUCCGCCACCUUCUUCCACCACCAACUGCCCUCCUCCUCCUUCUCCACCUACCUCAGGCGGCGGCGGCACGUAUUAUUACUCAUCUCCACCACCACCCUCUCAGUACACCUACUCAUCACCACCACCUCCUGCAUCCACCGGAGGCGGCGGAGGAACGGGUGGCAGUGGUACUUAUUACCCUCCGCCGAGUUACAAUAACUACCCAGCGCCGCCACCGCCGAACCCAAUUGUGCCUUACUAUCCUUUCUACUACCAUAACCCUCCGCCGCCGUCCACGGCGGCUCCUCCGCCAUUGAUGGGGUUAUUGUUAUAUUCAGCUUCCUUGUUAUCUCUCUUGAUUUCUUUGCUUUGAUAGAAGGAAAAUCAUUGUAAUAACUAAUAAGUGCAAAGAUUAGCGCAGAUCUAGUAGAAUAUAUGAGAGAGAAAUGAGAGUAAGUGAGUUCAGUGCAAGAACAUUGCACUUGGUUUUGUUUCUCUCUCAGACAGCUUUUGAAUCCAGAAAACAACAAGGCUUUCCAUUUUUCCUCAGCAAUGCAACAAUAUCAACUUGUUUCAAGUACCAUAUAUAUCCAAUUUGUUGACAAUUUAUUAUUGUAUGUAGCAUUUUUAAUCUGGUUAAUUAUUAGUACCAAAAAUAAAAGGAGAAAAGGG